rnacentral:lncRNA from 1 species
UUGCUUCCUCUCAUAUUUCGUACAAGUUUCGAAGACUUAUCUAGUUUAUACUAGUGGCGUCUACCAAUCUUGUUUGAACUUAUCACCAUCUUUGGUGUGGCGUUCACCUAUCCUUCUAUUCCAUUUAUCCACCUUCACAAUAUAGGAACCGGGGUGACACUUUUUUGUGUUGAAUUAUUCCUGACGUUAAGUUCACUAUUCCAUUCCCACCUUACAUUAUCUCCUUAUUAUUGUUUCCAAGCUGAACCAAC